UUUCCAGCCAAGUCCUUUCAAAGGAACAGGAAGAGAAAUCAUGUUUUGGCUCUCAUUCCUUUUCGUUUCAGUGGCCAUCAGAGGCAUCCAGGCACAGAUCCAGCUGGUGGAAUCUGGAGGAGAUGUCAAAAGACCUGGAGAGUCCCUCCGUCUCUCCUGCCGAGGCUCUGGAUAUACCUUCAGCAGCUACUGGAUGAGCUGGGUGAGGCAGGCUCCUGGGAAAGGCCUGGAAUGGAUUGCACGGAUAAGCAGUGGUGGUGGGAGCUCACAGUAUUACUCCAACUCCGUGAAAGGGCGCUUCACCAUCUCCAGGGAUGAUUCCAACAGCCUGCUGUAUCUGCAAAUGAACAACCUGAAAGCCGAGGACACUGCCAUGUAUUACUGUGCAAGAGACACAGUGAGAGGAAGUGAAUCUGGAGCCAGACAAAAACAUUUCUUUGCUUCUGACAACUCAGCUGAGUCACCUGGAGAGGAACCGUUUGAAUGCAGUGGCUGCGAUUCGACCUGUUUACAUCGGCGUUGA